rnacentral:tRNA from 1 species
GGGGAUUUGGCUCAGUGGUAGAGCGCUUGCCUAGCAAGCACAAGGCCCUGGGUUCGAUCCCCAGCUCCA